CGGAUUGUAGCUUAUUUAAAGUUUAUUAUUUACAUUAAUAUGAAAAUAUUUUAUUCUUUCUGA
rnacentral:tRNA from 1 species